UAGGGAAUCUUCGGCAAUGGACGAAAGUCUGACCGAGCAACGCCGCGUGAGUGAAGAAGGUUUUCGGAUCGUAAAACUCUGUUGUUAGAGAAGAACAAGGACGUUAGUAACUGAACGUCCCCUGACGGUAUCUAACCAGAAAGCCACGGCUAACUACGUGCCAGCAGCCGCGGUAAUACGUAGGUGGCAAGCGUUGUCCGGAUUUAUUGGGCGUAAAGCGAGCGCAGGCGGUUUCUUAAGUCUGAUGUGAAAGCCCCCGACUCAACCGGGGAGGGUCAUUAGAAACUGGGAGACUUGAUUGCAGAAGAGGAGAGUGUAAUUCCAUGUGUAGCGGUGAAAUGCGUAGAUAUAUGGAGGAACACCAGUGGCGAAGGCGGCUCUCUGGUCUGUAACUGACGCUGAGGCUCGAAAGCGUGGGGAGCAAACAGG
rnacentral:rRNA from 1 species